CUCGCUUCUAAGCCUUUUGGCUAAGAUCAAGUGUAGUAUCUGUUCUUAUCAGUUUAAUAUAAAUGAGUCUUGACAUCUACUUCACAGCACCCACCAUUUUCUUCUCUUGCUUUGGCUACAGUCUGGUGUCUCUGCUACCUCAGCCUCCUGAUGGAAUCUCUUCAGGUUCACAUCAAGCCAUC